rnacentral:rRNA from 1 species
UACAGAGGGUGCAAGCGUUAAUCGGACUUACUGGGCGUAAAGGGUGCGUAGGUGGAGAUAUAAGUCGUGUGUGAAAUCCCCGGGCUUAACCUGGGACUGGCAUGCGAAACUGGAUUUCUAGAGUACAGUAGAGGGAAGUGGAAUUUCCGGUGUAGCGGUGAAAUGCGUAGAUAUCGGAAGGAACACCAGUGGCGAAGGCGACUUUCUGGACUGAUACUGACACUGAGGCACGAAAGCGUGGGGAGCAAACAGG